AAGAAAGAAAGGGAGGGAAGAGAAGGGAAAGUAUGAACCACCAGGACUACAAUUCUAAUCAAGUGCUUAAAAUAUGUAGAUCUUAGAUAUGUCCAGAGUUUGAGGGUAAUAAUAAAAUUCACGGCAGAACAAAAGGAUCUUUAAAAGAAGCUUAUAGUUGGCUUUACAAUUUGUAGAGAGGAUAAAUUAAAUAAAGGUGCAAUUAUGCUAUGUUUUAAAUGUUUGAACAUACGUGCUGUUUUACUUUUCUAAAAUAGGUUCUAUAUGGCAGGGCAGAAUUGUUGCCUUAACAGCUCAAGCGUGGACAAAUUUUUUGAAUAUGAACCUCACCCAUCGUCUGCAAAAAAUCUGCAUCAUCUUUUCCAGAUGAUUCGUCA
rnacentral:misc_RNA from 1 species